GCGUUAAUCGGAAUUACUGGGCGUAAAGCGUGCGUAGACGGCUAUCUAAGUCGGGUGUGAAAGCCCCGGGCUUAACCUGGGAAUGGCAUUUGGGACUGCAAGGCUUGAGUGCGGCAGAGGAGACUGGAAUUCCUGGUGUAGCAGUGAAAUGCGUAGAUAUCAGGAGGAAUACCGAUGGCGAAGGCAGGUCUCUGGGCUGACACUGACGCUCAUGCACGAAAGCGUGGGGAGCAAACAGG
rnacentral:rRNA from 1 species